rnacentral:rRNA from 2 species
UGCAAGUCGAACGAACUCUGGUAUUGAUUGGUGCUUGCAUCAUGAUUUACAUUUGAGUGAGUGGCGAACUGGUGAGUAACACGUGGGAAACCUGCCCAGAAGCGGGGGAUAACACCUGGAAACAGAUGCUAAUACCGCAUAACAACUUGGACCGCAUGGUCCGAGUUUGAAAGAUGGCUUCGGCUAUCACUUCUGGAUGGUCCCGCGGCGUAUUAGCUAGAUGGUGAGGUAACGGCUCACCAUGGCAAUGAUACGUAGCCGACCUGAGAGGGUAAUCGGCCACAUUGGGACUGAGACACGGCCCAAACUCCUACGGGAGGCAGCAGUAGGGAAUCUUCCACAAUGGACGAAAGUCUGAUGGAGCAACGCCGCGUGAGUGAAGAAGGGUUUCGGCUCGUAAAACUCUGUUGUUAAAGAAGAACAUAUCUGAGAGUAACUGUUCAGGUAUUGACGGUAUUUAACCAGAAAGCCACGGCUAACUACGUGCCAGCAGCCGCGGUAAUACGUAGGUGGCAAGCGUUGUCCGGAUUUAUUGGGCGUAAAGCGAGCGCAGGCGGUUUUUUAAGUCUGAUGUGAAAGCCUUCGGCUCAACCGAAGAAGUGCAUCGGAAACUGGGAAACUUGAGUGCAGAAGAGGACAGUGGAACUCCAUGUGUAGCGGUGAAAUGCGUAGAUAUAUGGAAGAACACCAGUGGCGAAGGCGGCUGUCUGGUCUGUAACUGACGCUGAGGCUCGAAAGUAUGGGUAGCAAACAGGAUUAGAUACCCUGGUAGUCCAUACCGUAAACGAUGAAUGCUAAGUGUUGGAGGGUUUCCGCCCUUCAGUGCUGCAGCUAACGCAUUAAGCAUUCCGCCUGGGGAGUACGGCCGCAAGGCUGAAACUCAAAGGAAUUGACGGGGGCCCGCACAAGCGGUGGAGCAUGUGGUUUAAUUCGAAGCUACGCGAAGAACCUUACCAGGUCUUGACAUACUAUGCAAAUCUAAGAGAUUAGACGUUCCCUUCGGGGACAUGGAUACAGGUGGUGCAUGGUUGUCGUCAGCUCGUGUCGUGAGAUGUUGGGUUAAGUCCCGCAACGAGCGCAACCCUUAUUAUCAGUUGCCAGCAUUAAGUUGGGCACUCUGGUGAGACUGCCGGUGACAAACCGGAGG